rnacentral:rRNA from 1 species
GAUCUAUCCAUGUSMRGGAGKWMWGGAUCUCUUGWGRACUUCRASGUGCUGGGGAUAGAGCAUUGCAAUUAUUGCUCUUCAACGAGGAAUUCCUAGUAAGCGUGAGUCAUCAGCUCGCGUUGAUUACGUCCCUGCCCUUUGUACACACCGCCCGUCGCUACUACCGAUUGAAUGGCUUAGUGAGCCUUUGGGAUCGGCAGCUUGUACCGGCAACGGUAGCAGGCCGCUGAAAACUUAGGCAAACUUGGUCAUUUAGAGGAAGUAAAAGA